rnacentral:rRNA from 1 species
UACAGAGACUGCAAGCGUUAUUCGGAUUCACUGGGCGUAAAGGGUGCGCAGGCGGCCAAGUGUGUGAGGCGUGAAAGCCUGGAGCUUAACUCCAGAAUUGCACCUCAAACUACAUGGCUUGAGCACUGUAGGGGCUAAUGGAAUUCCGGGUGUAGCGGUGGGAAUGCGUAGAGAUCCGGAAGAACACCAGUGGCGAAGGCGGUUAGCUGGGGCAGUUGCUGACACUGAUGCGCGACAGCGUGGGGAGCAAACAGG